UACGAAGGUGGCAAGCGUUACUCGGAAUUACUAGGCGUAAAGGGCAGGCAGGUGGUUCGGUAAGUCUGUUGUUAAAGCUCCUGGCUUAACUGGGAGAGGUCAACAGAUACUACCGAGCUUGAGUAUGGGAGAGGAUACUGGAAUUCCCGGUGUAGCGGUGAAAUGCGCAGAGAUCGGGAGGAACACCUAUGGCGAAAGCAGGUAUCUGGACCAUUGCUGACACUCAGCUGCGAAAGCUAGGGGAGCAAACAGG
rnacentral:rRNA from 1 species